GUAUCGAUGGUCCAAUUGGCGAAGACACCAGCCUUCCAAGCUGGUAACCCCGGUUCGAAUCCGGGUCGAUACA
rnacentral:tRNA from 2 species